UACAAUUAUUUCUAGAAUUGUUAGCCUUUGUCCGAACUUCCUUUGGGGAUCAAAGAAGCCAUUGGUUGCAUGGAAGAAUCUAUGCCUUUCGAAAGCGGAAGGGGGCCUUGGAUUGAAAGACUUGAAGACUUGGAAUUUAGCGCUACUUGCUAAAUCCAUUUGGAACAUUCAAAACAAGAAGGAUACCCUAUGGAUUAGAUGGGUGAAUCAAGUUUAUCUUAAGGGGACUUGCAUUUGGGAGGUUAGCCCUAAAAAGGAUCACUCCCCACUCUUCAAGAAACUGCUGGAAAUUAGGGAUGUUUUGGCUCAAUCCGAGGCUGCUGGACAUCACCAACAGGUCCCGAUGGUUGGGCGCAAUAACGGGGGAAUUUCUCUACCUUAUUCUGAUGAUUUUGAGCAUAAUUUGCUGGGUAAUGUGCCUCAACACUUGGGGCGAAAUCUACAGAUUCUGGGCAGUUUUGUGCACAGGCAGACAGCUUCAGUCAGUAGGCAGUUUUCUGAUUUUUUGAACGAAAAUCUGGGCUGUUUGGGAAUGGAUAAAUUUAGUACAAAAUUUGCUUAUGACUUCUUCAGGCCUAAAGGUUCUUUCAAAACUUGGGGAGCUAAAAUAUGGAAGCCGUGUAUCACCCCGAAGCACUCUUUCUUGCUUUGGUUAGGAGUUCAAUCUAAACUCUUAACUAAGGAUAAGUUGCACUUCUUGGACAUUGAUAUGAAUUGUGUUUUUUGUGCUCAUUCGGAGGAGACUUGUGAGCAUCUUUUCUUUAAAUGUUCUUUCACUUCUUCAUUAUGGGAGAAUGUUAGGCGUUGGCUUGGCAUUAGGAGAUCUAUGUCAACUAUUGUUAGUGCUUUAAAAUGGUUGAAAAAGGAGGCUCGUGGAACAUCAUGGCAAAGUAAAGUGAAGAGGAUUGCUCUUGCCACUAUGGUUUACUAUAUUUGGUUGACACGGAAUAGGAAGAUUUUUGAAGAUCUCAAACCCGACUUGGAUAGCAUUGUGAGACGGAUCAAGACACACGUAUACAAGGUUAUGUUCACCUUGUAUCCGGAUGUCUUGAUCCAUUUCGAAUCUUUAGCAUUGGGACAUUGAGUUUUUAUGUACUUCACUUGAUUGUAUCUCCCGGGUAUGCCCCGGAAUAUUUCGUUUUUAUUUGUCCCUUACGUUUGCCC
rnacentral:lncRNA from 1 species